rnacentral:misc_RNA from 1 species
AUUGAUAACACCUUAUAUAUCAAACGGGAUUGUUUUGUUUUUAUGUUUUAAGCGAUUCGCAAAGAAUCAUCAUGGCGGCAAAAGUUUGUGUUUUGAACAUGCUGUUUGAGAGUUAUUGAUUUUUCGUCUUCCAAAUCGUGACAUUCAACUGACAAUGCAAUAGCACUAUCCACCAUGGUGGAUCUACUGGAGGACUUUCUGUGUGGGAGAUACAGGAAAUGUGUCCAGUACCUGGCGGGGUGUGAAGAUGGCAAGUUCCAGCCAUCACAAGUACAAGUACAGUCCAACAAGGCUGUCUGCCAGCUUCUCAUGACUCUGUCCAGUUCCCCAGCGGAUGUUGACAAGACUCUGAGGACUUCUCUCAACAAGCUGGAAAAUUAUCUUACCCAAAUACAGAGUUUCCCGCCCGAGAUGGUAACCAUGGAGACAGAGAUGACGAUCGUGUACAACAGUGUCUACCUGACUCUGCUGCUUCACUCUCGCUGCAGCGGCAGUGACGACCAGACGGUGUUGUCCCAGUGUGGGGCUGCAUACAGCAACAGUCUGGCCAGAGUGUUGGCAGCAGUAAAGCACUUCCCAUGUCCCAGUACACCUGCUGAUUCCCCGGACCAAGCCGUCAUGUCAUGUAACGUCAUGUCAUGUCAUGUUUCAGUGUUGGCAGCAGUAAAGCACUUCCCAUGCCCCAGUACACCUGCUCAUUCCCCGGACCAAGCCGUCAUGUCACAAUUACAUCAUCUUCUCCAGUACUCCCAGAUUCUACAAGUGUAUGGGGUCACAUCCCCCCUCUGUGCUGCUGGUUGUGCGUGGUCCUGUCUGUUGAUGCUUGCCCAGAAGGAGAAAGAAGCUGUGACGUGCCUGGAGUCUCUCACACAGAUGUUGGCCCAGACAGGAGAUGCAUCACAGAUGACAGUGAGUUCUGUUGGACUGCGACUCUGUGUGUCGGUGCACGGAGACGGGGUACAGCAGCGAGCCAGGAACAUGGAGACCCUGUCUGCCCCGGACCUCGUGGGGCUCCUGAAGGGGCUGUGUCACUACAAGCUGGCCCAGUGGGGGCCGAGUAGGGAGUGCCUGACAAGGCUACAUAGUGACAGCCUACUGCCUAGUGUGACAUACAUCAUAGGCCUGUGUUACCUGAAGGAGGGUAAGGCUGAUGACUGCAUCUCUGUCCUGGACUCCGCCAGACACCGGACCUCCUCAAGUCCUGCAUCCAGGGCCAGGACACUCCACCUGAUGGGCCAGUGCUAUGCUCACAAGGGUCUGCAUCAUUGUGCAGUUCUGAUGUUCCGAGAGUCCUUACAGGAGGAUUUCAACUUUCCCUUAGCUCUGUUCCACAUCUCAGAGCAGUACAGGCAGCUAGGCCUGGAGGAUGCUGAACUAGAGUCGCUGAACCUCCUCACUACAAUCCUGGAGGACAGUUCAGUGAAGGAUCUUACACCACGUCCAGUGUCCCUGUCAUCCUUGUGGACAUCGGACCUCUUCCAACAUGUGUGUCCUGCUCCCACCAUCUCCCUCCACCAGUCCCUCUACACCCUGGCACACAGGUGUCUGCAGCUACACAGGUAUGAAGACGGUUCCCAGAGGUACCUGGACUUGUUGGCUGCUCUGUCUGAAGCUUCCCACCUGACACAGAUAGACGAUGUUUCUACCCGUGUGGUAGAUCUACCACAUAUCAGAACAAUCUACAAGGAAACUGUAGAAUGCCUCCUCCAUGCUGGCCACUAUGAAGACUGUGUCAUUGUCUGUGACAAGGCCCUAGAGUCUAUCCGUCUGACCCUCAACCCGUCUGCUACCUCAUUUGGAGCAGACAAUAUCAGCAGUCUCCUUGGUCCAGACGACAGUGAAGAUCUCUCACAAACCAUUAGCACCAACUCCAGAAAGAGGCCAAGAUCUUCCUCCUGUGACCUCUCUCUGGCCAAUCAGAAUGAAGAUGACUGGCAAGAUGUUCAACAUCAUAUGACCUUGACAUUGUGUAAAGCAGACGCUUUGAUUGCCUUGAAUGACCACGACAAUGCAUCAGAUUCAUUACACAGGGCCAUUGAAGCACUUCUGGAAUGCAGUGGACGAUGGUCGGAGGUUUCGGAAGCUGAUAUCCCGACGACCUCCGAACCUGUCCCCAAACGCCGGAGAACGAAACCAGUUCCUGCCCUGGGUGGAAAUCCCUCCUGGUUCAGGCAUGUUGCAAAUUCUCCAGCCUCCUGACUGACCAGGGGAAGACAUCAGAUGCCCUUCACUACUCCAGGAUAGCCGUACAGACUCUCCCAGGAGACACAAGGGCAUGGUACACCUGCUGCACAGCUCUCCACCAGUCAGGGAGGGAGGAGGAAUCCUGCCGGGCGUGGCUGCAUCACAGGGAGGUGGGGCAACUCUCUGACGACAGCCACCUGCAGAGGGAGCUU